CUAAGCUCAGUCUCGACUCUCGACCUCCAUUCUCAACCCAGACUCGAGCUCCUCCUAAACUCGAGCUCCUCCCCCUCCUCCUCCUCACCAUCACAAUUCUCCCUCCUCGAUUCUCAGGCGGAAUCUAAAGUGCCGAGAUCCCGACCUCGAUCUAAAAUUGAAGUAACAACUCUGAAUCCUGAGCCCGGCCUCGAUCUGAGCUCCCUCUCCACCUUGCUCAACAGCUCGCUCUGGUCUUCUCCGCCCUCUGCUCCUCAACCCGCCGAUUCAAUUUCCGAUCACGAAGACAACGGCUUACCAGAGGCUAGAAUUUGGGGUCGCUAAUGGUCUUCGUCAAACCCUUGCCAUCCGAUUUGGUCAAAAAGCUUCUCUUCCAGCACCUGAAGGGCGUCGACGACUGUAAUGAUAACAGUAUACUCACCGAAACCUAGACCUAAGAAUCUGUUGCUUGACCAGAAACAACAGAGCCUCAAGAUUGGCGAUGGGAUCAAUCAGUCUUUCGCUUUCUUUUGCGAGUUUUUAUGGCGGACACGGUCACUCUCUGUUACCAAGUGCUGGACAUUUUGCUUGGGUCCACAGAUUACUCGACUUGGCGGACAUUUGGGCCAUCGGCUGCAUCUUCGUUGAAUAUUGUAGCUGAGAUGGUUAUCGGGGAUGUACUGUUUGUUGGAAGUACUAAGAUUCUCCCAAAGAAUUUAGACCCUUCUCUCAGAAAAAAGAAGAGAGAUUUCUAUCUCAGAGAGAGAGAGGGAGAUUGGAGAUCGUGUCAGAUCGGGAACAGAAACCUGUUUUCGCACGAUUUACACCUCUACAAUGUGGCUGGAUUCUUGGACUAAGAAUGAGAUGGACCUGGGUUUCUUGGUAUAUAAAUAUGCAGUGCGCCUUGGCUUGUCUUCAAAGAGCUUUUGUGACCUUAUCACUGAUAUGGGUUCUCAUGGGCGUACAGAAUGCAGCACAACUGAAUCAUCUGACGAUAUUGAGAAACAAGAGCUCGAGGAAGUGUCAGAUGAAGAUGAAUUGUCAUUUUUUGACACAAAAGAGUAUUUUACUGAACCAAACAUAAGUUGCGGGUCUGUGCAAGUUGUAAAUAACACAAAUAAGAUCAACAAAUAAGUUGCGGGUCUCUUCAAAAGUGUUGUGAGGACAUGGAGUACUCGUAUCUUUUGGAUCGGGCAUAUGAGUAUGGAAAAAUGGGGAAUAGUCUCCAAAGGAUUCUAAAUGUUGCUGCAUUUGCGGUUUCUGGUUAUGCAUCAUCGGAAGGGCGGCACUGUAAGCCAUUCAAUCCUUUGUUAGGUGAAACUUAUGAAGCCGACUAUCCAGAUAAAGGAAUUUGCUUCUUCUCUGAAAAGGUAAGCAUUUGAAGAUCAAAGAAUAUAGUGUAAAAAAUCAGAAUAACUAAAACAAAUGAGCAAUGGGAACUUAAGUACAAUGAGGUAUGAUGAUUGAAAACUGGUUGGGAUAUGCAUCAAAUUUUGAACAGCUUAAAGAACAACACCACUCUUGUUGAGAGGGCCAACUAGACUGCCUUCUUAAUUAUCAGAGAAAAGAAAUUCAAGCUUUUGGUCAAGUGAGUAUGCAACUUUGGACAGAAACUUAUUGAAAGAACUUUGAAUUUUUAUAAGUAAUUCUUUAGGGGGUGAAAGUGUUACUUUGAAACUUUGAACCAUUUUACGAUCAACUAAGAACGAAGGAGCAGCUGGGAUAUGUUGUUCAGUGUGACUGGGAGGUGAUAUUUGGUGUUUUUGGCUUUUAUUUCAUAGUUCAGUCGUCGGAGUACAACCCAAUCUACUUGCAGCGGAGAGUUGACAACUUUAUCAAUGGUGUGGAAGACAUUUUGCAGAUAUUGUAAAAGAAUGUGGAGCAUCCAAAGCUUGCUGCAUUCAUCAAGAAACAUACUUGGGUGAUGAUGGAGUCCGGAGAAUAUCUUACUUUUCCUCAAAACCAGUCUGAGAUAAAGGGUGGGGUUCUUCACUAUCUUGAGUCCAUUGAAGAGGUGAUUUAUUCCUCAUCAUGUCAAUUGAAACUUGAGUUGUGCUUUGGUGAUAUUGAAGUAUUGGUUCCUUGUUGUAGGAUACCAUUGGUUUGCAAUCUUUUGCUGCUGGUGGAAAGUUAUUGCAGUUAAUAUUUUGAUUUCUACAUGGUUCAACAAGAGUUUUGGCUACUAACAUGAUUUUGAGUAAGGCUAGUUUUUGCUUUGAAGGAAAGUUUGGUGUAUGUAGAACUGAUGUACAGUAGUUGGUUGCUAAUAUGUUUAUGGGCUAGCCUUUGUAGGUUUUGGGGUUUUAUUUUAUGAAUUAUGUAGAAUCAUGAAUGAAGAUGAGAAAAUUAAUGGAAAGCCUCAAUUUUUGGAUGAUGAGAAAUGUAUUUCUAGAUCUUUUCCCACCACCAG